rnacentral:misc_RNA from 1 species
AAGUCGUAACAAGGUUUCCGUAGGUGAACCUGCGGAAGGAUCAUUAUCCAAUACCAAGCUCGCUGUGUGUCUCUCCCUUGGGGGAGCAUCGGCGACGCUCAUCAACCCUGUGCACCGUUACUUGCUGCUUGGCGCUUAGCGUCGAUUUGGAGAACGAUUUGAAAGCUUUUCUUUGGGAAGGCUGGACGGAUCGCGUCAAAGAGUCGGAUCCCUUGGCAAUAACGUCUGGGCGGCUGGUCAAACCAAAAGCCCUAACGGCCAAGAAGGAGAAGCGGCGCCAGUAGUCUAUUCUCAACGCCUAUAGCAAUUGCCUGAUUAUAUCAUUUUUAUAUUGAAAAAUUUAUAAACAACUUUUAACAACGGAUCUCUUGGCUCUC